rnacentral:rRNA from 1 species
AUGUCCCUGCCGUGUCCCCCGGGGCCAGCCGCCAAAACAGCCGUCGUCGACCGCGCGCGCACGCUGACGCCAUCCACGAUCCAGCGGCAGGGCAACGGGCGACGGGAAAGCGCGGCCGGCCGCGUGUCGGCGUCCGUCCGGCCCGAUCGAGAAUCCACCGCGCAGCUAUCAAAGCAUACGCCACCGACCCCUGGGGUUUCCCGCCUCCUCCCUCUUAAACCCCCUCUCCCUCCCAUGGUGGCAGCAGCCAGCAGAGCACGACGCUUCCACACAACGCUUCCACUGCCGAUACUACGACUCCACGAGUGA